UACGUAGGGUGCAAGCGUUGUCCGGAAUUAUUGGGCGUAAAGAGCUCGUAGGCGGUUUGUCGCGUCUGCUGUGAAAACCCGAGGCUCAACCUCGGGCCUGCAGUGGGUACGGGCAGACUAGAGUGCGGUAGGGGAGAUUGGAAUUCCUGGUGUAGCGGUGGAAUGCGCAGAUAUCAGGAGGAACACCGGUGGCGAAGGCGGGUCUCUGGGCCGUAACUGACGCUGAGGAGCGAAAGCGUGGGGGAGCGAACAGG
rnacentral:rRNA from 1 species